AGAGUUUGAUCAUGGCUCAGAUUGAACGCUGGCGGCAGGCUUAACACAUGCAAGUCGAACGGUAACAGAACUAGCUUGCUAGUUGCUGACGAGUGGCGGACGGGUGAGUAACGCGUAGGAAUCUACCGAAUAGUGGGGGACAACAGUUGGAAACGGCUGCUAAUACCGCAUACGCCCUACGGGGGAAAGGAGGGGAUCUUCGGACCUUUCGCUAUUUGAUGAGCCUGCGUGAGAUUAGUUAGUUGGUGGGGUAAUGGCUCACCAAGGCGACGAUCUCUAGCUGGUCUGAGAGGAUGAUCAGCCACACUGGGACUGAGACACGGCCCAGACUCCUACGGGAGNCAGCAGUGGGGAAUAUUGCACAAUGGGGGAAACCCUGAUGCAGCCAUGCCGCGUGUGUGAAGAAGGCCUUCGGGUUGUAAAGCACUUUCAGUUGUGAGGAAAGGUUAAGGGUUAAUA
rnacentral:rRNA from 1 species